GACAGGGAAGCCUGGUGGGCUACAGUCCGUGGGGUCUCAAAGGUUCAGACGUGACUGAGCACAACCAUCUUUAGGAACAGUGUAGGCCGUACAAAACACAUCAGUGGCUCCCCGUUUGCAGCCUCUGGUUUAAUAUCUUUCUUUCCCUUUGGCUCUACUCCACAGGGGCACAUGCCUGUGGGUCUGCUCUGCUCACCAGUGUCUGGAUUCAACAAAGGGAAAACUAAAAAUAGAAGAUGGACCCACCCUCCCAGUAGAGCAGCAGGUUCAGAAAGAAUACACUGGCAAGGAGAUGGAUGGCAUUCCGUCACUCCCCGCCUCUUUUUGGAUUGCCUGCUGGAAAAGUUACCACUUCCCUUUAAGCCCUACUCCCAGCUGACCCCCGCAAGCCUCCUUGUUCUCUGCCCUGAAGUCAUCACAAUGGCCAGACGGGUCCUAGCCAGGGCGGGGCCCUCUGUGACGUCACCAAGGGCCCCACCCUGCCUGGUCCUCAGUCUCCAGAUGCCAGGGCAGACCAGCGCGCCAGGAGCCACUUCUCCGCUCACCAUGCGGUCUGUGAUGUGGUUCUUUUUCUGGUCUAUGUGUGUGUCCUCUUUCUGUGCUUUUGUGUUCUUCUGUCUGAGAGAUGACACCAUAGAGCUCCCCGGGACGGUGCCCUGCGGAAGGCACUUUCGAAUUCAGCAGAAUCUACCAGAGCAUGACCGAGGCUGGCUUGGCAGCAAGUUGCACUGGUUUUUUCUCCUCGUUGUGCUGUUUGUGAUACAGAAGUUCCCAGGAGACAGUGACGAGAGUACUGUGCAGACUCCUCCUGCCCUUCGGGGUGGUUCACUUGGCUCUUCGGGAAAGAAAGAAAAAAAGGCUUCCCCCAACAAAGACUAUAUGUUCGAUACCUUAAACCAGCUUGAGAUGGACCUUGUGAAAUUUGUGUCCAGGGUGCAGAAUCUGAAACUCGCCAUGGCAACCGGCAGUAACCUCAGUCUUCCCAGUUUCGAGGUACCUGCUGACAUACACAAUAACAUUACAAUACAUGAGUUAUGCGGUGACGAAGACUUCAAUGAAGACUCCGAGUGAAUAUGUGUGUCAAAGUAGAAGCGGAAAAGUUGACUGUGGAAAAAGUGUAUCCAAACCAAUAAAACUAUUCUGAAGCAAAAGCAAAACCACAA